GCGGGGAUAACUCAGUUGGGAGAGUGCCAGACUGAAGGCAACUUCAGACAAUGACAUCUGGAAGUCCGCGGUUCAAUCCCGUGUCACCGCA